rnacentral:rRNA from 1 species
UACGUAGGGUGCAAGCGUUGUCCGGAAUUAUUGGGCGUAAAGAGCUCGUAGGCGGUUUGUCGCGUCGAAUGUGAAAACCCGGGGCUCAACCCCGGGCCUGCAUUCGAUACGGGCAGACUAGAGUUCGGUAGGGGAGUCUGGAAUUCCAGGUGUAGCGGUGAAAUGCGUAGAUAUCGGAAGGAACACCAGUGGCGAAAGCGGCUUCCUGGUCCAGCACCGACGUUCAGGCACGAAAGCGUGGGGAGCAAACAGG